UUUUGUAUUGACAACAGAAUACACACCCUGUUCAUUUGUUGAUGUUUAAUGGAUGAGACAUAUACAUAGUCUAUAGCUGGUUCCUAUGUUUUGAUAAACAACUGUUUAUCAAAAUGUAAUUGAUCAAAAAGGAACUGUUUAUUUGACGGACCGAAUACACUACUCACAAAUUGAAUUUUUAACUACACUAUACUAUUCUAUUAGGGUCAUUUUGAUACAUUUACAAAACAAAACAAAGGAUUACAACAACAACAACAACAACAACAGCAACAAAAGGUUUUGAGGUAGAGAUGCUGUAGAUGGCAAGGCAAAACGUUCGGACUACUGUUAAUGAUUUAGAAUUGUGGAUAAAGGCAAGAUACAAGGGUGCUCGUUUUGACACUUCUUAUUUACGCAACAUAGAGCUCUUGGAAGUAAUGUUGUCUUCAAAAAAUAGAUGACACGUGCCCAAACGACGUCAGAGCUGACAUAACUAAAAUAUUAAGAUCACAAGUGGUACGUUUUAUAAUCCGAUUGACUAGCCAUGGACAGCUUUCAACGGGGACUUGGUACCUCUCCACCCCAAAGGAACGUACUGGAGGGGGUAGAACUGGGGACUAUGCCCACUGCAGUGCCCCCUGGAUUUCUCCCGCCUGGAUACACGGGUUUUGGCAUACCGUCUGGAAUCCCCGCGGCCGGGAGUUUUGCACAACCGAUGCACGCACUGACACUAGCCGAAAGAUUAGCAGAUAUAAUACUUGAAGCGAGAUACGGGUCCCAAAGGAAACAGCGACGGAGUAGGACUGCAUUCACGAACCAGCAACUUUCAGCGCUGGAGAAGACUUUCUCCAAGACGCAUUACCCGGAUGUUAUUAUGAGAGAACGCCUCGCCGUAAUGACGAGUCUUCCCGAGGCGAGAAUCCAGGUUUGGUUUAAGAACCGUCGAGCGAAGUACAGAAAGAAACAGCGUGUUGGGAAGCUUUUGGAACACCCCUCUUCAACGUGUACUACCGAUGAUGUUGACGACCAUACUGUUGUUGUUUGUAAAGAAGGUGAUGCUGUUCAAGCAAUUAAAAUGGAGGGAAAUGAUAGAGAACAGAAUGAGUCCGAGGAAAAUAAUGAAUCUGACAACGAGCCUGAUACGGCUGUAGAUGAGGAGUCGGGGGAAGAAACGGCUACGAAUGAGAGAAAUAAAGAUGGCCCGAUUGAUCUUACAAAAUUGACCGAUAUCGCCACAAGAGAGCGCUUCCAGUCGCCCAAUGAUUUCGAAAUAUUGUCGAAAAUAGCGGAAUUCAAUUCAAGUCAUUCAAGAAUGGCAUUCCAAAAUGAGAGAGCGAUGUUUAUGGAACGUUUUAGGCCAUCCCUUCCCUUGCCUUAUUCAUCGAUGUGUUUUGUGCCACCACCAGGCACCCUCCCACAUCAAACAUUCCCCGACGGUAAUCCAGUUGCGCAAAAAGACAUUGAAUCCCCCGCUGAUCUUUUCCACAAUCAGUUACCUGGUAUUCACUAUUUUCAAUCUCAGAUGAGACCUCAACUAAGAUCCGGGGAUAUGAAUCCUUUUGGUCAUAUUGCUAACCGUGAAUGGGCAAAACUGUUUCCGCAUACUGCAACAUUACAAGGACUAGAAGAAACGCAACGUAUGCGCAGUAUGUUAUUUCCACAGGAAGUUGCGUCAUCAUUAUUGCCAACAGGAACCGAUAGUGCUACUACAAACAGUAUAGUAAAUUUACGAAUAAGAGCUAGGCAACAUGCAGCGGCAAUGGGACUACAUUCAUCCGUUUUAAAGUAAUUUAUAGGAUAUCAUUUUUACAUUUUAUCUUCUAUAUCUAAGGCGUCUGUGAUUUGGUUGGGGGACAUUUGAAUACUGCAUGAUUAUGGUCAAAGAUAACGGCCAUGUUUGAGUCAUAACGAAAUACUAAAACUAACAAAAUGGCGGAUUAAUCAGGAAAUGAAAGACAAAUUCUAGCACAUAAAUAGUGGAUUACAAAACUUAAUUAAGGCCCCCUGAAUACACUCAUCAACAUGAGUCGUAUGGGAAGCACAAUGGGGAGCAGGAUGGGGAGUCGGGCGACAAGUAUGGAUCGAUUGACCGUCCAGGAAAGGCAGUUCGUUGAUCAUGCUAUUGAUCAACUGCCCGCCGAUUGGUACGGGCCGACACCGCUUACCCAGCUGAACUACACAAAAGCUGGUCCCGGCCACUGGUAUAUCAAAUGGGCGUGGAUCAGUGGUGUUCUAGCGUUUAUAUUCAUGUUUACCGGUCUGCUGUAUGUGGGACUUAGAGCAUCAGGACGUGUUUCGUUCAUUGUGUACAGGCUGGAGGUCAUCGGACCUAUAAUCAUCUGCAUUGCAUGCCUUUUGGUCUGGGCAACCAUUCAUCUUAUUAUACGUGGCCGAGAAGAGAGUAACGCGUGGAGGGAACAAAUACGAUUUAGGGGAUACGGUCUAUCUGGAGUCAAAGUUAUCAACAUGAUGUACGACAACGGAGAUCUGUCUAAACUUGCAACGGGAACGGUUACCGCUACAGCUAUAAAGGAGAUCACGGCACCAGUACAACCAAAGAAGAAGAAACGAAGGAGGGCAAGAUCAAAGGCCAGUCUGGCUAAAUCCCAGCAAAGUUUGGCUAGUGGAUACAGCAUUGAUGGAGAAAUGCCACCUCCUCCCACUCGCGAGGAAUUGGGGCUACAGGGAGCAGAGUCUGGGUACCCACCUCAAGGACAAUACGGUCCCAGGGAGACACAGGGGGCUUACUUCCCCCCUGACUCAAAAACCGAUAGGUACAGGCUUCCACCUUAG
rnacentral:misc_RNA from 1 species